rnacentral:rRNA from 1 species
UACGAAGGGGGCUAGCGUUGCUCGGAAUCACUGGGCGUAAAGCGCACGUAGGCGGGUUGUUAAGUCGGGGGUGAAAUCCUGGAGCUCAACUCCAGAACUGCCUUCGAUACUGGCGACCUUGAGUCCGGGAGAGGUGAGUGGAACUCCGAGUGUAGAGGUGAAAUUCGUAGAUAUUCGGAAGAACAUCAGUGGCGAAGGCGGCUCACUGGCCCGGAACUGACGCUGAGACGCGAAAGCGUGGGGAGCAAACAGG